rnacentral:rRNA from 1 species
AGAGUGAACGCUGGCGGUAGGCCUAACACAUGCAAGUCGAACGGCAGCACGGUAAGAGCUUGCUCUUAUGGGUGGCGAGUGGCGGACGGGUGAGGAAUACAUCGGAAUCUACCUUUUGGUGGGGGAUAACGUAGGGAAACUUACGCUAAUACCGCAUACGCCCUUCGGGGGAAAGCCGGGGACCAGCAAUGGCCUGGCGCUGAUAGAUGAGCCGAUGUCGGAUUAGCUAGUUGGUGAGGUAAUGGCUCACCAAGGCGACGAUCCGUAGCUGGUCCGAGAGGAUGAUCAGCCACACUGGAACUGAGACACGGUCCAGACUCCGAGGGAGCAGCAGGUGGGAAUAGUGGACAAGUGGG